rnacentral:rRNA from 1 species
CUACGGGGUGCUCCAGUGGGGAAUAUUGGGCAAUGGGCGCAAGCCUGACCCAGCAACGCCGCGUGAGGGAAGAAGGUUUUCGGAUUGUAAACCUCUGUCCUUGGGGACGAAGAAGUGACGGUACCCAAGGAGGAAGCUCCGGCUAACUACGUGCCAGCAGCCGCGGUAAUACGUAGGGAGCAAGCGUUGUCCGGAAUUACUGGGCGUAAAGGGUGCGUAGGCGGCAUAUUAAGUCAGGUGUGAAAUACUCGGGCUCAACCCGGGGGCUGCAUUUGAAACUGAUAUGCUUGAGUGUGAGAGAGGAAAGUGGAAUUCCUAGUGUAGCGGUGGAAUGCGUAGAUAUUAGGAGGAACGCCAGUGGCGAAGGCGACUUUCUGGCUCAUAACUGACGCUGAGGCACGAAAGCGUGGGGAGCAAACAGGAUUAGAUACCCGGGUAGUC